rnacentral:rRNA from 1 species
UACGUAGGGGGCAAGCGUUGUCCGGAUUUAUUGGGCGUAAAGAGCGUGUAGGCGGCCAUGUAGGUCCGUUGUGAAAACUCGAGGCUCAACCUCGAGACGCCGAUGGAAACCAUGUGGCUAGAGUCCGGAAGAGGAGAGUGGAAUUCCUGGUGUAGCGGUGAAAUGCGCAGAUAUCGGGAGGAACACCCGUGGCGAAAGCGGCUCUCUGGGACGGUACUGACGCUGAGACGCGAAAGCGUGGGGAGCAAACAGG